GAUGAACGCUGGCGGCGUGCCUAAUACAUGCAAGUCGAGCGAACGGACGAGAAGCUUGCUUUUCUGAUGUUAGCGGCGGACGGGUGAGUAACACGUGGAUAACCUACCUAUAAGACUGGGAUAACUUCGGGAAACCGGAGCUAAUAUCGGAUAAUAUUUUGAACCGCAUGGUUCAAAUGUGAAAGACGGUCUUGCUGUCACUUAUAGAUGGAUCCGCGCUUCAUUAGCUAGUUGGUAAGGUAACGGCUUACCAAGGCAACGAUGCAUAGCCGACCUGAGAGGGUGAUCGGCCACACUGGAACGGAGACACGGCCCAGACUCCUACGGGAGGCGGCAGUAGGGAAUCUUGCGCAAUGGGCGAAAGCCUGACGGAGCAACGCCGCGUGAGUGAUGAAGGUCUUCGGAUCGUAAAACUCUGUUAUUAGGGAAGAACAUAUGUGUAAGUAAAUGUGCACAUCGUGACGGUACCUAAUCAGAAAGCCACGGCUAACUACGUG
rnacentral:rRNA from 1 species